rnacentral:rRNA from 1 species
GACGAACGCUGGCGGCGUGCUUAACACAUGCAAGUCGAACGGAAAGGCCCUGCUUUUGUGGGGUGCUCGAGUGGCGAACGGGUGAGUAACACGUGAGUAACCUGCCCUUGACUUUGGGAUAAACUUCAGGAAACUGGGGCUAAUACCGGAUAGGAGCUCCUGCUGCAUGGUGGGGGUUGGAAAGUUUCGGCGGUUGGGGAUGGACUCGCGGCUUAUCAGCUUGUUGGUGGGGUAGUGGCUUACCAAGGCUUUGACGGGUAGCCGGCCUGAGAGGGUGACCGGCCACAUUGGGACUGAGAUACGGCCCAGACUCCUACGGGAGGCAGCAGUGGGGAAUAUUGCACAAUGGGCGGAAGCCUGAUGCAGCAACGCCGCGUGCGGGAUGACGGCCUUCGGGUUGUAAACCGCUUUCGCCUGUGACGAAGCGUGAGUGACGGUAAUGGGUAAAGAAGCACCGGCUAACUACGUG